AUCCAGCCGACGAGUCCGAUAUUGGAUGAGACAUGUGUCCUGGAU
rnacentral:hammerhead_ribozyme from 1 species